rnacentral:rRNA from 1 species
GACGAACGCUGGCGGCGUGCUUAACACAUGCAAGUCGAGCGGUAAGGCCCUUUCGGGGUACGACGAGCGGCGAACGGGUGAGUAACACGUGGGUGACCUGCCCUCAGCUCUGGGAUAAGCCUGGGAAACCGGGUCUAAUACUGGAUAUGACUCCAUGACGCAUGUUGUGGGGUGGAAAGCCUUGUGCGGCUGAGGAUGGGCCCGCGGCCUAUCAGCUUGUUGGUGGGGUGANGGCCUACCAAGGCGACGACGGGUAGCCGGCCUGAGAGGGCGACCGGCCACACUGGGACUGAGACACGGCCCAGACUCCUACGGGAGGCAGCAGUGGGGAAGUCUUGCGCAAUGGGCGAAAGCCUGACGCAGCGACGCCGCGUGAGGGA